GGGUUGUGAGGUUAAGCGACUAAGCGUACACGGUGGAUGCCCUGGCAGUCAGAGGCGAUGAAGGACGUGCUAAUCUGCGAUAAGCGUCGGUAAGGUGAUAUGAACCGUUAUAACCGGCGAUUUCCGAAUGGGGAAACCCAGUGUGAUUCGUCACACUAUCAUUAACUGAAUCCAUAGGUUAAUGAGGCGAACCGGGGGAACUGAAACAUCUAAGUACCCCGAGGAAAAGAAAUCAACCGAGAUUCCCCCAGUAGCGGCGAGCGAACGGGGAGCAGCCCAGAGCCUGAAUCAGUGUGUGUGUUAGUGGAAGCGUCUGGAAAGGCGCGCGAUACAGGGUGACAGCCCCGUACACAAAAAUGCACAUACUGUGAGCUCGAUGAGUAGGGCGGGACACGUGGUAUCCUGUCUGAAUAUGGGGGGACCAUCCUCCAAGGCUAAAUACUCCUGACUGACCGAUAGUGAACCAGUACCGUGAGGGAAAGGCGAAAAGAACCCCGGCGAGGGGAGUGAAAAAGAACCUGAAACCGUGUACGUACAAGCAGUGGGAGCACAGAGCAAUCUGUGUGACUGCGUACCUUUUGUAUAAUGGGUCAGCGACUUAUAUUCUGUAGCAAGGUUAACCGAAUAGGGGAGCCGAAGGGAAACCGAGUCUUAACUGGGCGUUAAGUUGCAGGGUAUAGACCCGAAACCCGGUGAUCUAGCCAUGGGCAGGUUGAAGGUUGGGUAACACUAACUGGAGGACCGAACCGACUAAUGUUGAAAAAUUAGCGGAUGACUUGUGGCUGGGGGUGAAAGGCCAAUCAAACCGGGAGAUAGCUGGUUCUCCCCGAAAGCUAUUUAGGUAGCGCCUCGUGAAUUCAUCUCCGGGGGUAGAGCACUGUUUCGGCAAGGGGGUCAUCCCGACUUACCAACCCGAUGCAAACUGCGAAUACCGGAGAAUGUUAUCACGGGAGACACACGGCGGGUGCUAACGUCCGUCGUGAAGAGGGAAACAACCCAGACCGCCAGCUAAGGUCCCAAAGUCAUGGUUAAGUGGGAAACGAUGUGGGAAGGCCCAGACAGCCAGGAUGUUGGCUUAGAAGCAGCCAUCAUUUAAAGAAAGCGUAAUAGCUCACUGGUCGAGUCGGCCUGCGCGGAAGAUGUAACGGGGCUAAACCAUGCACCGAAGCUGCGGCAGCGACGCUGAUGCGUUGUUGGGUAGGGGAGCGUUCUGUAAGCCUGUGAAGGUGUACUGUGAGGUAUGCUGGAGGUAUCAGAAGUGCGAAUGCUGACAUAAGUAACGAUAAAGCGGGUGAAAAGCCCGCUCGCCGGAAGACCAAGGGUUCCUGUCCAACGUUAAUCGGGGCAGGGUGAGUCGACCCCUAAGGCGAGGCCGAAAGGCGUAGUCGAUGGGAAACAGGUUAAUAUUCCUGUACUUGGUGUUACUGCGAAGGGGGGACGGAGAAGGCUAUGUUGGCCGGGCGACGGUUGUCCCGGUUUAAGCGUGUAGGCUGGUUUUCCAGGCAAAUCCGGAAAAUCAAGGCUGAGGCGUGAUGACGAGGCACUACGGUGCUGAAGCAACAAAUGCCCUGCUUCCAGGAAAAGCCUCUAAGCAUCAGGUAACAUCAAAUCGUACCCCAAACCGACACAGGUGGUCAGGUAGAGAAUACCAAGGCGCUUGAGAGAACUCGGGUGAAGGAACUAGGCAAAAUGGUGCCGUAACUUCGGGAGAAGGCACGCUGAUAUGUAGGUGAAGCGACUUGCUCGUGGAGCUGAAAUCAGUCGAAGAUACCAGCUGGCUGCAACUGUUUAUUAAAAACACAGCACUGUGCAAACACGAAAGUGGACGUAUACGGUGUGACGCCUGCCCGGUGCCGGAAGGUUAAUUGAUGGGGUUAGCGCAAGCGAAGCUCUUGAUCGAAGCCCCGGUAAACGGCGGCCGUAACUAUAACGGUCCUAAGGUAGCGAAAUUCCUUGUCGGGUAAGUUCCGACCUGCACGAAUGGCGUAAUGAUGGCCAGGCUGUCUCCACCCGAGACUCAGUGAAAUUGAACUCGCUGUGAAGAUGCAGUGUACCCGCGGCAAGACGGAAAGACCCCGUGAACCUUUACUAUAGCUUGACACUGAACAUUGAGCCUUGAUGUGUAGGAUAGGUGGGAGGCUUUGAAGUGUGGACGCCAGUCUGCAUGGAGCCGACCUUGAAAUACCACCCUUUAAUGUUUGAUGUUCUAACGUUGACCCGUAAUCCGGGUUGCGGACAGUGUCUGGUGGGUAGUUUGACUGGGGCGGUCUCCUCCUAAAGAGUAACGGAGGAGCACGAAGGUUGGCUAAUCCUGGUCGGACAUCAGGAGGUUAGUGCAAUGGCAUAAGCCAGCUUGACUGCGAGCGUGACGGCGCGAGCAGGUGCGAAAGCAGGUCAUAGUGAUCCGGUGGUUCUGAAUGGAAGGGCCAUCGCUCAACGGAUAAAAGGUACUCCGGGGAUAACAGGCUGAUACCGCCCAAGAGUUCAUAUCGACGGCGGUGUUUGGCACCUCGAUGUCGGCUCAUCACAUCCUGGGGCUGAAGUAGGUCCCAAGGGUAUGGCUGUUCGCCAUUUAAAGUGGUACGCGAGCUGGGUUUAGAACGUCGUGAGACAGUUCGGUCCCUAUCUGCCGUGGGCGCUGGAGAAUUGAGGGGGGCUGCUCCUAGUACGAGAGGACCGGAGUGGACGCAUCACUGGUGUUCGGGUUGUCAUGCCAAUGGCACUGCCCGGUAGCUAAAUGCGGAAGAGAUAAGUGCUGAAAGCAUCUAAGCACGAAACUUGCCCCGAGAUGAGUUCUCCCUGACUCCUUGAGAGUCCUGAAGGAACGUUGAAGACGACGACGUUGAUAGGCCGGGUGUGUAAGCGCAGCGAUGCGUUGAGCUAACCGGUACUAAUGAACCGUGAGGCUUAACCUUACAACGCCGAAG
rnacentral:rRNA from 1 species